rnacentral:lncRNA from 1 species
GUUAAAUACUCUCUUUUAUAACUUUAUUUGGAAUGGGAAAUUAGAACGUAUAAAACGCAAUACACUAAUUGGGGAUUUUAUGCAGGGAGGUUUGAACAUGGUGCAUUUGUCAUCUUUUAGUACAUAUCUAAAAAUAAGCUGGGUCAGAAGACUUCUUUUGAAUUUAGAGGGAUCAUGGCAGACAUUAUUACUGUCUGAAUUAACCAAAUUUGGUGGUGACAGAGUCUUUUCUUUACAAAAAGAAAAACUGCUAGAAAUUCAUGGCUAUGUUAAGAAUCCUUUUUGGAAAGAUGUUUUAUUUUGCUUACAUACUGCAAAGCCUUAUACUAAGGCUUGUACAAAUGAUAUAUUAUCACUAGAUAUUUUAAAUUUUGUGCCACUUUCAGAUUACACUAUUUAUAUGCAAUGGAAGGACUUUGG